UACAUACUCUUUCUGUCCCAAAAUAAAUGUCGCCGAUUUAGUACAACUUUGGUAAUUUAGUACCAAAGUUUACUAAAUUACCAAAGUUGUACUAAAUCGGCGACAUUUAUUUUGGGACGGAGGGAGUAGAUU
rfam:Triticum aestivum genome assembly, contig: Triticum_aestivum_CS42_TGACv1_scaffold_543212_6DS